UAGGGAAUCUUCGGCAAUGGACGGAAGUCUGACCGAGCAACGCCGUGUGAGUGAAGAAGGUUUUCGGAUCGUAAAGCUCUGUUGUAAGAGAAGAACGAGUGUGAGAGUGGAAAGUUCACACUGUGACGGUAUCUUACCAGAAAGGGACGGCUAACUACGUGCCAGCAGCCGCGGUAAUACGUAGGUCCCGAGCGUUGUCCGGAUUUAUUGGGCGUAAAGCGAGCGCAGGCGGUUAGAUAAGUCUGAAGUUAAAGGCUGUGGCUUAACCAUAGUACGCUUUGGAAACUGUUUAACUUGAGUGCAAGAGGGGAGAGUGGAAUUCCAUGUGUAGCGGUGAAAUGCGUAGAUAUAUGGAGGAACACCGGUGGCGAAAGCGGCUCUCUGGCUUGUAACUGACGCUGAGGCUCGAAAGCGUGGGGAGCAAACAGGAUUAGAUACCCUGGUAGUCCACGCCGUAAACGAUGAGUGCUAGGUGUUAGACCCUUUCCGGGGUUUAGUGCCGCAGCUAACGCAUUAAGCACUCCGCCUGGGGAGUACGACCGCAAGGUUG
rnacentral:rRNA from 1 species